CGCGCGGCCGUGCUCGGAGCAG
rnacentral:miRNA from 1 species